UUGCUCACUAGAGGGUGAUGGUCCACUUGUUUGCGAGCUUUUUGUGCAAACCAGUCUAACAUAAUGUGCUAGUGGGUAUAGCUCGGUUGGAUGAAUUCUUCCAUCUUCACUCAUGUGGACAGAGGUUCGAAACUCCCAGAACAGAUGGCCGAAACAAUCGAAGAAGAGUUGGAGCGACGCGCUUGCAAAGGCAAAUCGGGUAAACUGCAGAUUUGGGCUCAGAGCUCAAAAUCGGAUCCAUGACCUGUUGAUUUGAAGGGAACGACGUCACGAGUAAAACACAUUUCUUUGUCAUGAUGUAUGGGCUUUUUCGGGCAUCCGAGAUCGUUUUUAGUAGCUCGAAAUUUAGUUUUAAAGUUUUUAAAGUUUUUAAAGUUUUUGAAAACUUUGUUAUUUUCCUAUUUUAAUUCCUUUGUUAUUCCUAUGUUUUCUGGAAGUAUUUAAGCAUACUUUACCCGUGGUUAGGGUUAUGUUUUGUUAUUCUAAUUUUAUCAAUAAACUUUGAGGUUUCCUCAUAUCUUCCUGGUA